AGGAUAUUAGUUAACCUUCUAUAACAUUUAAUUUGCAAUUAAAAAUUAUGUAAUUUUUUAAAAUCAUAUAUCUUA
rnacentral:tRNA from 1 species